rnacentral:rRNA from 1 species
CUACGGGGGGCUGCAGUGGGGAAUAUUGCACAAUGGGGGAAACCCUGAUGCAGCAACGCCGCGUGGAGGAUGACACAUUUCGGUGCGUAAACUCCUUUUAUAGGUCAAGAUAAUGACGGUAGCCUAUGAAUAAGCGCCGGCUAACUCCGUGCCAGCAGCCGCGGUAAUACGAAGGGUGCGAGCGUUAUUCGGAGUUACUGGGCGUAAAGAGCAUGUAGGCGGUUUAUUAAGUUAGUUGUUAAAUCUCAUGGCUUAACUGUGAGCUCGCAAUUAAUACUGGUAAGCUGGAGCAUAGAAGAGAGAAGUGGAAUUCCCGGAGUAGCGGUAAAAUGCGUAGAUCUCGGGAGGAACACCGGUUGCGAAGGCGGCUUCUUGGUCUAUUGCUGACGCUAAAGUGCGAAAGCGUGGGGAGCAAACAGGAUUAGAUACCCCUGUAGUC